rnacentral:rRNA from 1 species
CCUACGGGAGGCAGCAGUGGGGGAUAUUGCACAAUGGGGGGAACCCUGAUGCAGCGACGCCGCGUGGGUGAAGGAGUGCUUCGGCAUGUAAAGCCCUAUCGGCAGGGAAGAAGCAAGACGGUACCUGACUAAGAAGCCCCGGCUAACUACGGGCCAGCAGCCGCGGUAAUACGUAGGGGGCGAGCGUUAUCCGGAUUCACUGGGUGUAAAGGGAGCGUAGACGGCCAUGCAAGCCAGGGGUGAAAGCCCGGGGCCCAACCCCGGGACUGCCCUUGGAACUGUGCGGCUAGAGUGCGGGAGGGGCAGGCGGAAUUCCUGGUGUAGCGGUGAAAUGCGUAGAUAUCAGGAGGAGCACCGGCGGCGAAGGCGGCCUGCUGGACCGCGACUGACGUUGAGGCUCGAAAGCGUGGGGAGCGAACAGGAUUAGAUACCCGGGUAGUC